GUGACCUCAAAUCAGGUAGGACUACCCGCUGAACUUAAGCAUAUCAAUAAGCGGAGGAAAAGAAACUAACAAGGAUUCCCCUAGUAACUGCGAGUGAAGCGGGAAAAGCUCAAAUUUAAAAUCUGGCAGUCUUUGGCUGUCCGAGUUGUAAUCUAGAGAAGUGUUAUCCGCGCUGGACCGUGUACAAGUCUCCUGGAAUGGAGCGUCAUAGAGGGUGAGAAUCCCGUCUUUGACACGGACUACCAGGGCUUUGUGAUGCGCUCUCAAAGAGUCGAGUUGUUUGGGAAUGCAGCUCAAAAUGGGUGGUAAAUUCCAUCUAAAGCUAAAUAUUGGCGAGAGACCGAUAGCGAACAAGUACCGUGAGGGAAAGAUGAAAAGAACUUUGGAAAGAGAGUUAAACAGUACGUGAAAUUGCUGAAAGGGAAACGCUUGAAGUCAGUCGCGUCGUCCAGGGAUCAACCUUGCUUUUGCUUGGUGCACUUUCUGGUUGACGGGUCAGCAUCAAUUUUGACCAUUGGAAAAAGAUUAAGGGAAUGUGACAUCUUUGGAUGUGUUAUAGCCCUUGGUUGCAUACGAUGGUUGGGAUUGAGGAACUCAGCACGCCGCAAGGCCGGGUUUUUAACCACGUACGUGCUUAGGAUGCUGGCAUAAUGGCUUUAAUCGACCCGU
rnacentral:rRNA from 1 species